UACGAGGGGUGCAAGCGUUGCUCGGAAUUAUUGGGCGUAAAGGGUAGGUAGGUGGUCUCAUUUGUCUAGGGUGAAAGCCUUGAGCUUAACUCAAGAAGUGCCCUAGAAACGGUGAGACUGGAGUCUUGGAGAGGGUCGUGGAAUUCCCGGUGUAGCGGUGAAAUGCGUAGAUAUUGGGAAGAACACCGGUGGCGAAAGCGCCUUGCUGGGUCUGCACUGACACUGAGGGACGAAAGCUAGGGGAGCGAAAGGG
rnacentral:rRNA from 1 species